AUGUUCUGUGACUCUAUAGAACCCAAACUAAUACACAAAUUUUUGUGAAUAUGUUUUCAAGGAAGCAUAUAUUUCCUUUAGAGUGAUAUUAAUAUGAUGCUUUCUGUUGUACACAUGUAUGUGACAUUUAAGAGGCAGUACCUUUUGAUGAUGCUCAUGUGAACUUCACUGAGGAAGAGAGUGGAAUUUGCUGGAUCUUUCCCAGAAGAAACUCUACAAAGGUGUGAUGUUGGAAACUUACUUGAACCUCAAAGCUGUAGGCUAUAAUUGGGAAGACCAUAAUCUUGAAGAACAUUGUCAAAGUAGAAGAAGACCUGAAAGGCAUGUAAGAAGUCAUAAUGGAGAGAAAAUCUAUGAGUGCAAUCAAUGUGGUAAAGCCUUUGCAAGACCCAGUCAACUCCAAAGACAUAGAGUCACAUAUUCUUGAAAGUGUUCUUCAGUUCAGGAAUUGCCUUUGGGAAAUAAUUGGUUCACUUAUGCAUAAGAGCAUAUCAUCUUCAAAUAAAUGUAAA